rnacentral:misc_RNA from 1 species
GAAGAGUUGAAAAACUCCCAAACCCACUGUGAACCUACCUAUAUCGUUGCUUCGGCGGGCGGCCCCAGGGCGGGGCCUUUUACAGGUGUCCGCCGACGGCCCCUAUAAGCUCUUGUUUUUUGGGUACUCUGAGUAAGACCAAAUGAGUCA